rnacentral:rRNA from 1 species
GUCCACGCCGUAAACGAUGGGCACUAGGUGUUCGGGGUAUUGACCCCCUGAGUGCCGCAGCUAACGCAUUAAGUGCCCCCGCCUGGGGGACUACGGCCGCAAGGUUAAAACUCAAAGGAAUUGACGGGGGCCCGCACAAGCGGUGGAGCAUGUGGUUCAAUUCGACGCAACGCGAAGACCUUACCUGGGCUAGACAACGUCGGACAGCUCUAGAAGUACAGUCUUCCCGCAAGGGACCGGCGGUUCAGGUGCUGCAUGGCUGUCGU